rnacentral:tRNA from 10 species
AAAUACACAUAAAUAGCCAGAUGAAGGGAUACAUAGGGCAAGGUCUGGAGGUGUCCUGAGCCCAGGAACCUCUCUGUUGAGUUAGGGUAGGAGUGACUCUCCUCUCUCCCCUUCACAUGAAUGUAUUCACCAACCUGGAAGCUCAUCAAGGCUCAUUGUUUACACAUUUCUUUAUAGAGCUUAAUCUUCAACUCCUCUCCCUACAUUCUUCUCUAAAGUUAUGUGGGUAGAACUUAAUGUUCCAACGCUUUGAUUUCUUGGUGUUUCUGGUGACCACCCCCAUCCUGAUGCUAUCUGGGGACCCCAUCUUAAGGCAAUUCACUAGCAUAAAAUAAAGUGUCAUUAAGUAGGCCACCAUAUGAAUAACAAAAGACAUUCCUAUCAUUCAGGAAAUUCCUAGAGUUUCAAGAACUCUGUACCACAAACCAGCAACAAAGACCAAAUAUAUUUAUUAUGCUACAGUUCCACAUCAGCUUGGGACUUAAUUUUAAGCCUUACCUCACACAUGCAUCCAAAAUCAGGUGAUGUGUAAUUCCCUCUCCUUGUGACCAAAAGAAUGUGGUAAAAGUGAUGCCGUGUUGUUUCUAAGAAGACAGGUCAUAAUGCUUCUUAGAAUGCAGCUUCUCUGGACUAUCUCGUAACCCAUCUGUGAAGCAGGGAGAAGUCCAAGCUUCCUCAUGAAGAGGAUCACAUCAAGAGUGAAGCCAAAGGCACAGGAAGCACAGCUGGAAUGGGGACAUAGGAACGCGGGGGCUCCCAUGAGUUGACCGGACAACUGAGAGAUGGCAACCUAGACCUGGGGCUGCAAAUUUGAGCACAGAACCUGCAAGAACCUCUUGUGUUCCAUUGCCUCCCAGAUGCCCUAGACUUGUUGGACAAAAUAUGCUAUGUUUUCGUGAAUCCAUGAUUCGACCUGAAGAAGAAGGAAAGAACUGGACAUCCAGAUGAGUACAUUGAUAUCGAAGAAAAAAAGAGGUCCUUUCUUUAUUCCAUUCCCCUUCAUGUCUCUACCUAGGACAGUAUCUGAAAGUAGUAGACAAUCAGUAGUACUUUUGGAAGAAAGGACAAAAUACAGAAAGUCAGGACCGAAAGAGGAAAGGUUGCAGGUUAGGGGCUCAAGCCUGCUGUCAUGUUUUUUUGCCACAGCUCUAGUACACAUAUCCUGAUUACACUGAAGAAGGAUUAGGCUCAGAUCAGAGUGGGACACUUCCAUAUCAGGCAGUCUUCAUAUAGAGAAGGAAAUUAAAUUCUCUUGUCCUUAGAAAGCCCAAAGUUCCAUAGCAGCUGUGUUUAUAUUUUUCUAGUUCCCUAAGGAAGCAGGCAGUAGAAGGGAAAUGUGCUUCUGACUUAGAGUGGUAUGCAACUUUUUAAUUUAGCCAGCACCACUCUCAAAGUUUCACCUGCUUCUGAGAAAGUUAUCUCAGGCAUAUAUUUUCAGAAAGCUUUUUCUUUUUGGUGCAAGCUUUUGCAUUCUAGGGGGAACUGCUACUCCAUUCCACUCAGCUUUGCACUGCAACACAUUCUCAAGCAGUUUCUGUCUCAGAGUAUCCCACAGGCACAGCUUCAUCAUAAUGGCACUUAGCAUCUCCAUAGUACUUAUUAUCUUGGAGGCACUCUACAAACAUUAGCUAAUUAGUCCUUGUGGAAAAAAAGGUCUUGUGGAAAAAAACAUGCCUAUUCAUAUUCUAGGAGUGGCCAACUGAAAUGAAGAGGUAAUAUCAAUAGAUCUGUUUACAAGGCCACAGAGAGAAAAGAGUGGCAUUUAGGACUUGUCAAAAUAUGGUCCCCAAGGUAAUGCUAAAUAUAACUACAAAUCUUGUCACCAUUUGAAGAUUAUUACUAAUCUUAUUCCUUUAAUUUUUUGGUGAAAAUGAUUGCAUUUAAAGAAACAGCAUAUGAGUUAAUAUUAAUAAGGAAAAAUAACUGAUUUGAUAGCAAUAGGUGAAUAACUCUACAGGCAUAGAUAUUUAGGGGUGAGACUUAUUAAUCUGUGCUAAUAAUUUGUCAAAUUUAAAUUAUCUCUUUCACUGAACACCAAAAAUAAAAUAACUCCUGGCCGUGCCAUUUUAUGAUAUUCUAUUUAGACAACAUCUUUUAUAGACUUAUGUUUUCCAUUGUUCUCACCAUGCCUACAUCUAAAACUGUCUAUUGAGUACUCAAUAUAUACUAGGUGUUCUGUAAGACACUGAUUGUAGAGUGGUUUGUAAGAUAAGAAAGGUCCUUGUAUUUAAUAUGUUUUCUGUCUAAUGAAGAAGACAGGGAGCUAAAUGCACAAUUACCAUGAGACUUAUGAUUCUCUCAGAAUAGUAGGACACCAUGGACAUGAUUAAGGGUGGGUCAAAGGCAAGGAAAAAAUCCUAGAUGAAGGAAUAUUUAAGGGCGAUCUAAUGUAUGCAUAGAAAUUAGGCAGAUAAAGAGGUGAAAGGGUGAGUUUGGUCUAUAUUUCAUUAUAGUA